GGGUCGUUGGCGUUCGAACGUCGGUUAAGGUUCAGUCGUACUUCGAAGUGCAGUGACCCUUAAUCAGCGUUCGAAUGUUGGUGACCCCUUAACUGUAGUCCAAAUGCCGGUUAAAGGUGUUCCGUUAUUCUAACCUCAAAAGCGUUGCUCCGAUGAAGAACCAAGACCUGAUCACCACUCAACCACCAGAGACCACCAAAACAGG
rnacentral:lncRNA from 1 species